rnacentral:lncRNA from 1 species
AUUGUGUUAAAAUCACUAAAGAGCAAGGACACAGCAUGGCUGGAAAAAUGAUGGGGAGCCAGGAAUAAAGAGUACGAAAUAGGGUGGUAGCCUGGGGUCUCCUGGGAGUAGUAGUCUCCUGGGGGCUCUAGUCUGAUGACAGGUUAAGGAAUGUCAGUGAGGGGACUGUAGAAAAGUCUGAGAACUUCCAUUAGGAGCAAGGACCCUACCCCAGCUCCUGGCCCUAGGGAAGCACUCCCACAAGACAGGACUUCAGAGGGGCCAUGUUCUCCAAGAAACCCAAUUUUUUGUUAGAGCCAGGAGGUGAGGAAUAUCCUGAGAGAGGACUUUGGAGGUUUCGUUGGUCCUGAGCUGAGAAUUCCAGAAGAUGCAGUGGAAAGUUUUCAGGAGUUGAGGAGGAGGUGUAAGAGGAGACAAAAGAGGGGUCUGCAGAGCUUAGAGAGGAUGAAAGUACAGGACAUUGAGGGGACCUGGUGUGACUGAUGGAACAGUUCAGUGGAGUCACUGCUGUGCCUCUUGGUGGAAGCAUUUCACUUUGGGAGCUAAAAACUCUAGGCCAGCAGGGCAUGAGGUCACCAGACAGGAAGCACACACUUUGCUAGUGGGACACUGGGGGCCACUGUGAGAGCUGCCACUCCCAUUCCCAUCCCUUGAUUCCUGGAUCCAGGAAUCCUGGCUGGGGGUGGGGAACAGCACCCACAUGCUGGAUGUUAGUUCAGAGCAUGAGCAGCCCUGCAAGGUGGAGCCAUGUAGCUUGCACUGUCACUGGGUCAUCAAAAGGCCAUGCACCCCUCAUCAAGCCAGCCACCUCAGGAGUGAAGAGAACAACCUAGGAGCAGAGAUUCCUGAGCACAGGCCGUGGUCACUUCACUUCUUUGGCCAUGAAGGGAGUCCCCAGAGCAGAAGCAGAGCUGUGUGGACACCAUGUGAAGUCUAUCUCUCCUGGACUCAGGCUAAAGGAUGUGAAUGCACCUCAGUCAUGAUCUCCAUUAUUAUCAGAUAUAGCCACAACAACCUACUCGCUCCCCUGUCC